rnacentral:rRNA from 1 species
AUGAAGUUAGCGGCGGACGGGUGAGUAACACGUGGGUAACCUACCCAUAAGACUGGGAUAACUCCGGGAAACCGGGGCUAAUACCGGAUAAUAUUUUGAACUGCAUAGUUCGAAAUUGAAAGGCGGCUUCGGCUGUCACUAAUGGAUGGACCCGCGUCGCAUUAGCUAGUUGGUGAGGUAACGGCUCACCAAGGCGACGAUGCGUAGGCGACCUGAGAGGGUGAUCGGCCACACUGGGACUGAGACACGGCGCAGACUCCUACGGGAGGCAGCAGUAGGGAAACUUCCGCAAUGGACGAAAGUCUGACGGAGCAACGCCGCGUGAGUGAUGAAGGCUUUCGGGUCGUAAAACUCUGUUGUUAGGGAAGAACAAGUGCUAGUUGAAUAAGCUGGCACCUUGACGGUACCUAACCAGAAAGCCACGGCUAACUACGUGCCAGCAGCCGCGGUAAUACGUAGGUGGCAAGCGUUAUCCGGAAUUAUUGGGCGUAAAGCGCGCGCAGGUGGUCUUAAGUCUGAUGUGAAAGCCCACGGCUCAACCGUGGAGGGUCAUUGGAAACUGGGAGACUUGAGUGCAGAAGAGGAAAGUGGAAUUCCAUGUGUAGCGGUGAAAUGCGUAGAGAUAUGGAGGAACACCAGUGGCGAAGGCGACUUUCUGGUCUGUAACUGACACUGAGCCGCGAAAGCGUGGGGAGCAAACAGGAUUAGAUACCCUGGUAGUCCACGCCGUAAACGAUGAGUGCUAAG